rnacentral:tRNA from 4 species
CGCGGGGUGGAGCAGCCUGGUAGCUCGUCGGGCUCAUAACCCGAAGGUCGUCGGUUCAAAUCCGGCCCCCGUAACCA